rnacentral:rRNA from 1 species
GGAUUAGAUACCCUGGUAGUCCACGCCGUAAACGAUGUCUACUAGCUGUCUGUGCGAUUAAGUGUGGGUAGCGAAGCUAACGCGUUAAGUAGACCGCCUGGGGAGUGCGGUCGCAAGAUUAAAACUCAAAUGAAUUGACGGGGGCCCGCACAAGCGGUGGAGCAUGUGGUUUAAUUCGAUGCAACGCGAAGAACCUUACCUACUCUUGACAUCCAGAGAACUUUCCAGAGAUGGAUUGGUGCCUUCGGGAACUCUGAGACAGGUGCUGCAUGGCUGUCGUCAGCUCGUGUCG